UAAAACGACUCUCGGCAACGGAUAUCUCGGCUCUCGCAUCGAUGAAGAACGUAGCGAAAUGCGAUACUUGGUGUGAAUUGCAGAAUCCCGUGAACCAUCGAGUCUUUGAACGCAAGUUGCGCCCGAAACCUUCUGGUCGAGGGCACGUCUGCCUGGGCGUCACGC
rnacentral:rRNA from 1 species